GUAUCAAGCGCUGCAGCGAGCGUACGCUCUGCUGACGGAGACCAGCGGAGGAAACUACGACGCUGAGAAGGAAAUCAAGACCAGAGAGCAGCUGCUGAGUGAAAUCAGUCGAUAUCAGUCCAGAGUCGCUGAUCUGGAGUCAGCACUGAAACAACAAGGACUGGAUGUCCAGUGGGUGGAGGAGAAGCAGGCGUUGUAUCAGAGGAAUCAACAGCUGGUGGAGAA